GUGGCUUCUCAGCUGCUCCUCUAAGCAGAGGCUCUUUCCACCCAUCUGGAGAUUGAUUCUAGAGUUCGGUAUCACAUUUGACUGCAGAUGUAAGACACUUUUUUCAGCCUAGUUCUGUCAGAAAUAAAGAAAUUAUGGAGCGGACAGAAAGGAUCUAGGAAAGAUGAAACUGAAAGAAUGCUGACAUGCGUCUUUAGCAUUCUCCAGGAACAAGAGUUGAUCCUUCUGGCAAGCACACAGUAUGAUGGAGGGUGAGCUCCUUGAAGCAAGGGACAGUGUGUGAAAGACUUCACAUCUCCCGCACCUUGAAGAGAAUGCAGAACUUAAGAGCAAGCAGACAGGAGUUCACAUGGAGGAAGCAGAAGAGGCUGAGGUCUGACUUGAUGGAUGGCAGCAGAGCCAAAGACACAAACCUGCUAACUUGUAACAGGUCUACCCAUGCUUCUCUUUCAAAUGAAUAUGUUGGUUGAGGCCAAUAACUCCUUGCUUUCCAUAUGGAAAUCAAUCAACAAGUAGCAUUGUUAUCUUCUUUCUAAGCUGGUGUUCUGUCUUUGAAUUUUUCUUUUUCCUAGUUAGCAAUGAAGGUAAAAGUUUUUACAUAAGUAUAAUAUUCAUAUGACUCCCCCUGAGGUAAUAGAACUGAAGAAAGACUGGUUCAUCAAACCCAAAAGUCAGACGAAUGUAGACUGAAAUGAAACAUUUAGGCCUGGACUAGUGUGUUAGAGAUUAAAAAAUAAGCAAACAGUUUUUCCUAGUCUUACAUUCAAUACAACACAGAACACUUCACAUCUGGUUACCAAAAUGUAUGUAGAUUUCUUUCCACCAACAAUCAAUUCUCUAGGAGAUCCCAAGUAGGUAUAAUCUAAUUUAAUUCAAUUCUGUCACUACAGAUAGCAUAAAAUCCCACAGGUUAAGAGCUCAGUCUCACAAGACUGCCCCAAACUUCAGAAGCCAAUCACCUAUUGGCUUUGCCAGAAGUAGGUUGUCACUUAUACUUCUGACUCCUGCUAUAAAUGGGAGUUCCCAUGACCCUCUCUUUGGGUUCCAUUAAUUUGCUAUAAUGGCUCACCAAACUCAGGGUGAGCUUACAUUUACCAGUGAUAUGGUUUGACUGUGUUCUCACCCAAAUCUCAUCUUGUAGCUCCCAUAAUUCCCAU